rnacentral:rRNA from 1 species
AUUGAACGCUGGCGGCAUGCUUUACACAUGCAAGUCGAGCGGCAGCGCGGGGCAACCUGGCGGCGAGCGGCGAACGGGUGAGGAAUACAUCGGAACGUACCCCGGAGUGGGGGAUAACGCCGCGAAAGCGGCGCUAAUACCGCAUAUGCUCUGAGGAGGAAAGUGGGGGACCGCAAGGCCUCACGCUCUGGGAGCGGCCGAUGUCCGAUUAGCUAGUUGGUGGGGUAAUGGCUUACCAAGGCGACGAUCGGUAGCUGGUCUGAGAGGAUGAUCAGCCACACUGGGACUGAGACACGGCCCAGACUCCUACGGGAGGCAGCAGUGGGGAAUUUUGGACAAUGGGGGCAACCCUGAUCCAGCCAUGCCGCGUGCGGGAAGAAGGCCUCGG